UCGUAACAAGGUUUCCGUAGGUGAACCUGCGGAAGGAU
rnacentral:rRNA from 1 species